GACGAACGCUGGCGGCGUGCCUAAUACAUGCAAGUAGAACGCAGUUGCGAACGGGUGAGUAACGCGUAGGUAACUGCCUCAUAGCGGGGGAUAACUAUUGGAAACGCUAGCUAAUACCUCAUACUGUGAGAUGGACCUGCGUUGUAUUAGCUAGUUGGUGAGGUAAAGGCUCACCAAGGCGACGAUACAUAGCCGACCUGAGAGGGUGAUCGGCCACACUGGGACUGAGACACGGCCCAGACUCCUACGGGAGGCAGCAGUAGGGAAUAUUGCACAAUGGGCGCAAGUCUGAUGCAGCCAUGCCGCGUGUAUGAAGAAGGCCUUCGGGUUGUAAAGUACUGUCAGCGGGGAGGCGUUACCCGCAGAAGAAGCACCGGCUAACUACGUGCCAGCAGCCGCGGUAAUUC
rnacentral:rRNA from 1 species